UAUGGUAUAGGUUUUUGUUUGGGCUCCUUUCGUGGUGUGCUUUUCUUUUCAUAACAUCAUUUGUGUUCUCUCAUUUUUUCUCAAUGUGAAGUUUGGUUCUUCAUAAGAAGAAAGUUACUAAACUUGUUUCUGCUCUGUUUUCUACGUGUUAAAGACGAACUGCUUACACUGUAGAAGUCUGGCUGAGAUGAGUGCAGGUUAUAUAGAUUUAUCAGCGUUCCAGUAGCAGAUGGCUAGAAUGUGGCCGGAGAUGACAGUGACUAUAUUUGAGUGGAGACGAGCUGCGUGACAACCGUGUCGAGCAAGAUGGCUGGCUAAGGAGGAGCAACAAAGGGAGAGGAAGGUCACCUCAUCAAAAAACUGGUACUAAGUUAUUUAAAUUUGCCAUUUGCUAGUUGUACUUACUAAUAGGAGGUUAGAGACAAUUCUUCCAUUACCAAAUUUAAACUUUCAGACCAAAAAUGUAUUUUUGGCUAACUGUUAGCAACUUGGUGGAGGCCUAAUUUGAUGCAAUUAAAAUAUAUCAGAAACUUCUUUAUUGAGAGAUGGAUAAUAAGGGGUUCAGGUUUAGAGGAAGGAGUUGGUUGUUCUUACAGAUAGAUUGCCAUCCUGUUCUCCAUUUGGGGAAAGGAGAUGAAACACUGAUAUUGAGAAUCUGUUUUUGUGGAUCAUUUUUGUUCAAAAUUGGCUAUUGGGCU